rnacentral:lncRNA from 13 species
GUUGCUAUGGCAAUGGUAAACUGUCAUGGCGCUAGUGGGCUUGUCUUAUGAAGAGGGGCUUUUCUUUCUUUCCUGUUUCAGCCUGUCUUCAAUCUGGUCCUGACUCUAGUUCCAUGUCCUACCUCUCUUUAAUACCCUCAGCUAUGCACUAUUUUGGAACAGGGACAAAAAAAAAAAUCAAUGACAUAGUUAACCUAUUGCGAUACCCCAGCAUCUAGAAGAAUUCUUCUCCUUUGUAAACUCUCCAUUUGCUCCAGAAAACUUGUAAGUUUAUACAUACUAAGAAAACCCCUUUCUCACAUUGUAAAACCUGAGAUGGAAGUCAAUAAAUUAAUGAUGUAUAUACCUCCAUCAGGAAAGGACAAAAAGGAAAGAAGAAGAAAUGAGACUCAGAAAAGAUCAAAAAGCAUUUUCCGAAACUUUUGUGCACACCUGUUCACAUCUGCCAUAUUCAGGCCAGUAUUCUGUUACUCUCAUUCAUUAAACACUUCUGAAAUUCAUACAUUUUUCUUCCUAUUGUUGACAUAGUGACUAUCGCAUUAGUUACUUCUUAUUGUACAAUUUUAGUCAAUUUACUUUAAUUCAAUUCAAUACAACAAAAUCAAAUAAAGAUGCAUUUAUUUCAUAAUUCCCA